UGAGAGGAAGAGGUGAAGAUCUUGGUGCAGUCACAGUUUUGUGUUAUUGGUGGAAGAUUAGUGCUUGCUGGAGAUCUGUGUGGCGGUCGGCCGAAGUGAAACAAGGGCAUAGGAGUAUGUGUAGGUGACAUUUAAUGAUGGAGUUUGGUGGUGGUUUGGAGGAUUUUCUUGGUGACUUUAAUGGAGUUAGCGCAUGGAGGGACAUAUGUGGAAGAAAUGGAGUUAUGGAGAAUAG
rnacentral:lncRNA from 1 species